rnacentral:rRNA from 1 species
GUCGCACGAGAAAGGGAGCAAUCCUAAGUAAAGUGGCGCACGGGUGAGUAACACGUGGAUCAUCUACCUUUUAGUGGGGAAUACCUCUGGGAAACCGGAGACAAUACCGCAUAAGCCUGUAAAGGGAAAGCAGCAAUGCGCUGAAAGAGGAGUCCGCGGCCGAUUAGCUAGUUGGCGGGGUAACGGCCCACCAAGGCGAAGAUCGGUAGCCGGCCUGAGAGGGCACACGGCCACACUGGCACUGAAACACGGGCCAGACUCCUACGGGAGGCAGCAGUGGGGAAUCUUGCACAAUGGGCGAAAGCCUGAUGCAGCGACGCCGCGUGAGCGAUGAAGCCCUUCGGGGUGUAAAGCUCUUUCGACGGGAACGAUAAUGACGGUACCCGGAGAAGAAGCUGCGGCUAACUACGUGCCAGCAGCCGCGGUAAUACGUAGGCAGCGAGCGUUGUUCGGAAUUACUGGGCGUAAAGAGUGUGUAGGCGGUGUUCCCAGUCUGUUGUGAAAUCUCCCGGCUUAACUGGGAGGGUGCAGCGGAAACUAGAAUGCUAGAGGGUGGGAGAGGUAAGCGGAAUUCCUGGUGUAGCGGUGAAAUGCGUAGAUAUCAGGAGGAACACCUGUGGUGUAGACAGCUUACUGGACCACUUCUGACGCUGAGACACGAAAGCGUG